rnacentral:rRNA from 1 species
AUUGAACGCUGGCGGCAGGCUUAACACAUGCAAGUCGAGCGGGGGAAGGUAGCUUGCUACCGGACCUGGCGGCGGACGGGUGAGUAAUGCUUAGGAAUCUGCCUAUUAGUGGGGGACAACAUCUCGAAAGGGAUGCUAAUACCGCGUACGUCCUACGGGAGAAAGCAGGGGAUCUUCGGACCUUGCGCUAAUAGAUGAGCCUAAGUCGGAUUAGCUAGUUGGUGGGGUAAAGGCCUACCAAGGCGACGAUCUGUAGCGGGUCUGAGAGGAUGAUCCGCCACACUGGGACUGAGACACGGCCCAGACUCCUACGGGAGGCAGCAGUGGGGAAUAUUGGACAAUGGGGGGAACCCUGAUCCAGCCAUGCCGCGUGUGUGAAGAAGGCCUUAUGGUUGUAAAGCACUUUAAGCGAGGAGGAGGCUACUCUAGUUAAUACCUAGGGAUAGUGGACGUUACUCGCAGAAUAAGCACCGGCUAACUCUGUGCCAGCAGCCGCAGUAA